rnacentral:rRNA from 1 species
ACGGGUGAGUAACGCGUGAGAAUCUGGCUUCAGGUCGGGGACAACAGUUGGAAACGACUGCUAAUACCGGAUGUGCCGAGAGGUGAAAGAUUUAUUGCCUGGAGAUGAGCUCGCGUCUGAUUAGCUAGUUGGUAGUGUAAUGGACUACCAAGGCGACGAUCAGUAGCUGGUCUGAGAGGAUGAUCAGCCACACUGGGACUGAGACACGGCCCAGACUCCUACGGGAGGCAGCAGUGGGGAAUUUUCCGCAAUGGGCGAAAGCCUGACGGAGCAAUACCGCGUGAGGGAGGAAGGCUCUUGGGUCGUAAACCUCUUUUCUCAAGGAAGAAAAAAAUGACGGUACUUGAGGAAUAAGCAUCGGCUAACUCCGUGCCAGCAGCCGCGGUAAUACGGAGGAUGCAAGCGUUAUCCGGAAUGAUUGGGCGUAAAGGGUCUGUAGGUGGUACUGUAAGUCUGCUGUUAAAGAGCAAGGCUCAACCUUGUAAGAGCAGUGGAAACUACAGAACUAGAGUGCGGUAGGGGCAAAAGGAAUUCCUGGUGU